AUGGCAAUUGUCCAUACUUACGGGAAGCCUGGCAUCUUCUUGACCAUGACCUGCAACCCUAACUGGGAAGAGAUAACGAAUGAGUUGUUUCCUGGUCAGACAGCGCAAGACCGACCUGAUCUUGUGGCUCGUGUGUUCCAUGGCAAGCUAGAGGCUAUGAAAGAGAUGUUGUUCAAGAAGAAUAUCCUGGGUGUUGUUGUUACACAUGUAUACAUAGUCGAGUUCCAAAAGAGGGGCCUC
rnacentral:rRNA from 1 species